AAAUCAGGUUUCAGAUGCAAAUAAAAUUAAUUUGAAAAUGUUGUAAAGUAUACUGGGUGAUUGUGUUCAAAACAGAUUAAAUAUUUUAUCAACUUCACAAGUACAAUAUUUUUAGUUUAUAAAAUACAUAGUCAAAACGCCCACUCAUGAAUAUUAAUUAGAGAUCUCGAACGUUUCUUGGUAACCUUGGAGCUUUGUUCAUUAGUGAGUCAGGCGCCAGGCGGUUGUUAACGGCGACCUAACCGCUAAGCGUGCGACAUAUCUCAUAAACAGUUUGAGCAAUUUUUCAAGUUAUUUGUUAGAUAUGGCUUUGAACCCAUUUCCAAAGCUAUUAGAAGACUGUCUCAUUAGCACGAAACAUGUAGAGUGUGCAGCGAUACUCGUGGCUAAAACAGGCGAGGUAACGGCUGCAUUCAAUUUUACAGUCUGUCCAGAGCAAACACAUAUGUUUAUAGACUCAUUCAAACACGUGAAUGUAACGAGGCAGAGAGGACUCAACUUCAAGAACAAGCUCUACACCUGCGUGCGUGCUGACAAUCACUCGAUAUACGCUAAAUGUGAAGGACAUGGCCUGGUAUUGGUGAGAACUGCACUGUAUGUGAUUGUUGCCACAUACUCGCAGAGCAUGUAUCCAAGUAUCUGUGUGGAAGCAGUUGAGAAACUAGCCGAGUAUCUGCGUGAAAAGGGAAAAUGAAGCUCAUCGUACCAAAUCUGAAGAGGUGAAGAAGCUGUUCAGUGUCAUUGUAGUAGUACUAAUGAGAAACUAUAAACUAUACUCAAUCUGCUUAACUACAGGAACACCAAGGAGGGGCCGGUUCUGCUGUUGCUGUGACUCUCUCUGUGAGACUGACCCUUACCCCACCAGAGAUGGCCAGAAUGUACACUUGCAACACGAGUCACCGUUUCCACAUGCUUCAAAGAAGAAGUCAUAAAUUCACAUCAAAUGACAGCGACUGUAUAUGUCCCUUUAGUCAAUUGUGUAUCUAGAGAUAGUGAUUAAAUUGUGUAACAGUUGAAUGACUAAAGAUGAAUGCGGUCAGCACAAAUCCACGCACACACAUACAAAUGUACACUGAUCCAAUUGCAGGUACGCAAUGUUCAAAUGUUAAAUGUUAGAUUCAAACAUUCCUGCAGUAUUUAAGAACCUUUUUUUUUUUUUUUUUUUUUUUACUUUUUAGAUUAGCUAGUUCAUAUCCACAGAAUACAAUGUAAUUAAUCCCUCUGAUGACCAAGAAAUAUGUAAUGCCACAUCCCAUAUACCAGUGUGAUGGGUAUUUCAAUUCGGCACAGUUAAAAGGUUGAGUUACUCAGUUAACCAGGAUUAAUUUCAAAACGAUUUGAUAUUGAGAGAUAUUUAUGGGUGACACCAAUGUGGUUUGGAAUCUCAUUUAAAUAUUAACUCUCGUGCUUGAAUUUAACUGCAAGCUGCAGGCAUGUUUGUGGGUGGCCGUAACCCCAGGAUCCAUAUAUAUAUGACAUACGCUGAGGUUGCUGUAAACAUGUCGAGUGACACAUUUAUGUCGCUUAUUAAAUGAAUGAUGAAUGGUACAUGUUGUUAACCGUAACAUAACAUGCCUUGAGAACAUGUCUAACAGGUAAUUUAUUAACCUGUCCUGCCAUACAGAGUAUAACACUGAGCAGAUAUUUUGUCAUGGAGUAUUAUUAUUGACCCUGUCAUGCAUAGAGGUCACUACAACAGACAGCUAUUCAGAAAGCCAUGUCUUCUGUAUGCAUGGGUUUUGAUUGCACAGUUGCAACAUCAACCACUAGUGUACACUACACUAGUGCAACAUCCUAUACGCUGCCACCAAGUGGCAAGCCAUCGUAUGUGGAAUUUUUCUCUCUCCAAACCAAGAUGGCUCAUGGCCAGUCAAAAAGACUGAG